rnacentral:rRNA from 1 species
GACGAACGCUGGCGGCGUGCUUAACACAUGCAAGUCGAACGAUGAAGCCAGCUUGCUGGUGGAUUAGUGGCGAACGGGUGAGUAACACGUGGGUGAUCUGCCCCAAACUUUGGGAUAAGCCUGGGAAACUGGGUCUAAUACCGAAUAUGACCGAUACUCGCAUGGGUGUUGGUGGAAAGCUCCGGCGGUUUAGGAUGGGCCCGCGGCCUAUCAGCUUGUUGGUGGGGUAAUGGCCUACCAAGGCGACGACGGGUAGCCGGCCUGAGAGGGCGACCGGCCACACUGGGACUGAGACACGGCCCAGACUCCUACGGGAGGCAGCAGUGGGGAAUAUUGCACAAUGGGCGCAAGCCUGAUGCAGCGACGCCGCGUGAGGGAUGACGGCCUUCGGGUUGUAAACCUCUUUCACCAGGGACGAAGCGAAAGUGACGGUACCUGGAGAAGAAGCACCGGCCAACUACGUG